GGCACUUUGGCGGAGUGGCCUAACGCGGUGCCCUGCUAUGCACGAAAGUGUAAGCCUAGGCAUUUCCUUCGGGAGCGUGAGUUCGAAUCUCACAGGUGUCG
rfam:Penicillium griseofulvum strain PG3 contig_12, whole genome shotgun sequence.